UACAGACUGAAAUCCUGUACAUCUCUCACUACCUCACAUCAACAGCCAAUUUGGGUCCAUCAUGCCAGCUUCAGAGAGGGACAAUUACCUCUCUGUCUUCUCUAAGAAAAACAGAUCAUACAAGUGAUUUUCUUCCGAAACCUUCAAAAAAUUUGAUUGUUGAUCAUGAGUACACCUGUACAGACGAAGUACACAUCCUCCUGAUAAGACCUGGCACAUUUACAAGCACGUGAUGAGGCUAAACUGAAAGUACAUUCAAACUGAAAGUACAUUCAAACUUGGAGAGAGAGAGAGAGAGAGAGAGAGAGAGAGAGAGAGAGAGAGAGAGAGAGAUGGAUGGAGAAAAAGAGAUGAAAUCACCAUUAAGGUAUAUGAUUGUUUGACAACUUGAGAGCUCUAAGACCUUUAAGUUUGUUGGGAAAUAUAUUAAUACGUG
ensembl:lncRNA